UACGGAGGGUGCGAGCGUUAUCCGGAUUCACUGGGUUUAAAGGGUGCGUAGGUGGGCAGGUAAGUCAGUGGUGAAAUCUCCGGGCUUAACCCGGAAACUGCCGUUGAUACUAUCAGUCUUGAAUACCGUGGAGGUAAGCGGAAUAUGUCAUGUAGCGGUGAAAUGCUUAGAUAUGACAUAGAACACCAAUUGCGAAGGCAGCUUACUACCCGAAUAUUGACACUGAGGCACGAAAGCGUGGGGAUCAAACAGG
rnacentral:rRNA from 1 species